GGAGAGAGAUGAGGACAGAGAAGGGUUAUGGAGAGAGAUGAGGACAGAGAAGGGUUAUGGAGAGAGAUGACAGAGAAGGGUCAUGGAGAGAGAUGACAGAGAAGGGUCAUGGAGAGAGAUGAGGACAGAGAAGGGUCAUGGAGAGAGAUGGAGAGAGAUGAGGACAGAGAAGGUUAUGGAGAGAGAUGAGGAGAGAGAAGGGUCAUGGAGAGAGAUGAGGACAGAGAAGGGUCAUGGAGAGAGAUGAGGACAGAGAAGGGUUAUGGAGAGAGAUGAGGACAGUGAAGGGUUAUGGAGAGAGAUGAGGACAGAGAAGGGUUAUGGAGAGAGAUGAGGACAGAGAAGGGUUAUGGAGAGAGAUGAGGACAGAGAAGGGUUAUGGAGAGAGAUGAGGACAGAGAAGGGUUAUGGAGAGAGAUGGAGAGAGAAGGGUCAUGGAGAGAGAUGGAGAGAGAUGAGGACAGAGAAGGGUUAUGGAGAGAGAUGAGGACAGAGAAGGUUAUGGAGAGAGAUGGAGAGAUGAGGACAGAGAAGGUUAUGGAGAGAGAUGGAGAGAUGAGGACAGAGAAGGGUCAUGGAGAGAGAUGAGGAUAGAGAAGGGUCAUGGAGAGAGAUGAGGAUAGAGAAGGUUAUGGAGAGAGAUGAGGACAGAGAAGGUUAUGGAGAGAGAUGAGGACAGAGAAGGUUAUGGAGAGAGAUGGGGACAGAGAAGGUUAUGGAGAGAGAUGGGGACAGAGAAGGGUCAUGGAGAGAGAUGAGGACAGAGAAGGGUCAUGGAGAGAGAUGAGGACAGAGAAGGUUAUGGAGAGAGAUGAGGACAGAGAAGGUUAUGGAGAGAGAUGGAGAGAUGAGGACAGAGAAGGGUCAUGGAGAGAGAUGAGGACAGAGAAGGGUCAUGGAGAGAGAUGAGGAUAGAGAAGGUUAUGGAGAGAGAUGAGGAUAGAGAAGGUUAUGGAGAGAGAUGAGGACAGAGAAGGUUAUGGAGAGAGAUGAGGACAGAGAAGGUUAUGGAGAGAGAUGAAGAGAU
ensembl:lncRNA